rnacentral:SRP_RNA from 1 species
GUUAAAGAAGGGCGAAACAGGGGAGGACGGAAACGGAGC